AUUGAACGCUGGCGGCAUGCUUUACACAUGCAAGUCGAGCGGUAACAGGCCUUCGGGUGCUGACGAGUGGCGAACGGGUGAGUAAUGCAUCGGAACGUACCCAGAAGUGGGGGAUAACGCAGCGAAAGCUGUGCUAAUACCGCAUGUGAUCUGAGGAUGAAAGCGGGGGACCGAGCAGCAAUGUUUGGCCUCGCGCCUUUGGAGCGGCCGAUGUCGGAUUAGCUAGUUGGUGGGGUAAAGGCCUACCAAGGCGACGAUCCGUAGCUGGUCUGAGAGGACGACCAGCCACACUGGGACUGAGACACGGCCCAGACUCCUACGGGAGGCAGCAGUGGGGAAUUUUGGACAAUGGGCGCAAGCCUGAUCCAGCAAUGCCGCGUGCGGGAAGAAGGCCUUCGGGUUGUAAACCGCUUUUGGCAGGAACGAAACGGUGUCCGCUAAUACCGGGCGCUAAUGACGGUACCUGCAGAAUAAGCACCGGCUAACUACGUG
rnacentral:rRNA from 1 species